CACCCAACCACCCUCAGCACACCACACCACCCUCAGCCACACCACAUCACCCACCCUCAGCACAUCGCACCACACCACAUCACCCUGCAGCACACCACAUCACCCUGCACCACACCACACACACCCCACCCACCUGCACACAUCACAUCACACACACGCAGCACAGCACAUCACACCAACCACACCACCCUGCACACACCACACCACCCUGCAGCACACCACACCACCCCACCCUGCAGCACAUCACACCACACCACAUCACCAUGUACCACACCACACCACCCUGCACCACACCACACCACCCGCAGCACCCACACACACCACCCAGCACACCACACACCACCCUGCAGCACACCACACACCACCUUGCAGCCACCACCCUGAUCACAGUACAUCACAACACAUAAUGCUCAAUAUACCUCUCUUAUAUGUUGUCAGGAUACAUCAAGCACUGGGCCAUUUGGUCAGGAUACAGCAUCAAAGCACUGGGCCAGUUGGUCAGGAUGUAGCAUCAAAGCACUGGGCCAGUUGGUCAGGAUACAGCAUCAAAGCACUGGGCCAGUUGGUCAGGAUCAGCGUCAAAGCACUGGGCCAGUUGGUCAGGAUAUAGCUCAAAGCACUGGCCAGUUGGUCAGGAUAUAGGACAUGUCUUCAUUAAUAACUCACUAAAACAGUUUCACUUCUGUCAUUGUAACGGGUAUGAUUCACCAUGUAGUGAAGCCAUGUGUUUUACUGUGGUCUAAACCUUCCCUUUUUCUCUUCUAGGCUUGUAUGAUGUUGAUCACCUUUCUGCCAUACACAGUGAGUCUGAAUCAUGUUAGAUCAGUCAGGGGGGGAUGUGAACUUUACACUGACUGACCGAUAGGGCCGAGACCCUACCCGUUACAUCAUAUUUUGUGGCAAAAUUUUAUGGCAAAAAAAUGAAGCAGACAACUCGUUGGUCCUUUUAGUAUGUAAUAUAUUGGUGUGUAGCCUGGAUAAUAAAACAUGUAACUGUGGAUGACAACGUGUUUGUUACCAACAUUAAAGCCGUUUUUCCUUAAACAAGUUAAUCUGCUUUGUAUCUGAUACGGAUGGUCCCGCCCGACUGACUGACGACUGACUGGUUGACUGACUGGUAUGGUCCCG
rnacentral:lncRNA from 1 species